AAAAAAAAAAAAAAAAAAAAAAAAGAGGCAAGAAUUGUUGGACAAGGGGGAAGAGAGCUUUCUUGUUGUACAGAUGUUUCCUUCAUCACUUGCUUUUUGUCUCUCACUUCACCGUUGUUGUUCUUGGGAUGGUGAAUGACUUAUUUGGUCUCACUUUCCUUUUACUUAUUAUGUUGUCUUAAUUUAAUUAUUUUGUAUUAGGCAUCAAUACCCUUUUCCCUUUAUUGAUUCAAUCAAUGUUUCUUUAUAUGUUGG
rnacentral:misc_RNA from 1 species